rnacentral:rRNA from 1 species
UACGUAGGGUGCAAGCGUUAAUCGGAAUUACUGGGCGUAAAGCGUGCGCAGGCGGUUUUGUAAGUCUGUCGUGAAAUCCCCCGGGCUCAACCUGGGAAUUGCGAUGGAGACUGCAAGGCUAGAAUCUGGCAGAGGGGGGUAGAAUUCCACGUGUAGCAGUGAAAUGCGUAGAGAUGUGGAGGAACACCGAUGGCGAAGGCAGCCCCCUGGGUCAAGAUUGACGCUCAUGCACGAAAGCGUGGGGAGCAAACGAGGAUACGAAACCCCGGU